CUAACACAUGCAAGUCGAGCGAGGUAUUUAUGCCUAGCGGCGGACGGGUGAGUAACACGUGGGUAACCUGCCUCAGAGAGGGGAAUAGCCUUCCGAAAGGAAGAUUAAUACCGCAUAAUAUAUACUUUUAGCAUUAUGAGUAUAUCAAAGGAGAAAUCCGCUUUGAGAUGGGCCCGCGGCGCAUUAGCUAGUUGGAGAGGUAACGGCUCACCAAGGCGACGAUGCGUAGCCGACCUGAGAGGGUGAUCGGCCACAUUGGAACUGAGACACGGUCCAGACUCCUACGGGAGGCAGCAGUGGGGAAUAUUGCACAAUGGGGGAAACCCUGAUGCAGCAACGCCGCGUGAAUGAUGAAGGCCUUCGGGUCGUAAAGUUCUUUGAUUGGGGACGAUAAUGACGGUACCCAAAAAACAAGCCACGGCUAACUACGUGCCAGCAGCCGCGGUAAU
rnacentral:rRNA from 1 species